GACGAACGCUGGCGGCGUGCUUAACACAUGCAAGUCGAACGGUGAAGCGCUUUCCUUUUUGGUUGGUGUGGAUGAGUGGCGAACGGGUGAGUAACACGUGAGUAACCUGCCCUUUUCUUCUGGAUAACCGCAUGAAAGUGAGGCUAAUACGGGAUAUUCUGGGUCUGUCGCAUGAUGGGUCUGUGAAAGCUAUUGUUUCGGUGGGGGAUGGGCUCGCGGCCUAUCAGCUUGUUGGUGGGGUGAUGGCCUACCAAGGCGGUGACGAGUAGCCGGCCUGAGAGGGUGGGCGGCCACAGAGGGGCGGCGACACCGCGAAGACUCCGACAGGAGGCAGCGGGGAAGAGUAGUGAACAGUGGGAGCAAGGCUGCUGCAGCGACGCGGCGGGGGGGAUGGCGGCCUUCGUGUUGUGAACCUCUUUCGCCAGUGAAGCAGGCCUGCCUCGUAUGUAGGUGGGUUGAUGGUAGCUGGAGAAGAAGCACCGGCUAACUACGUG
rnacentral:rRNA from 1 species